rnacentral:rRNA from 1 species
AGCGAACGUUGGCGGCGCGCCUAACACAUGCAAGUCGAACGCGAAAGAUCUUCGGAUUAAGUAGAGUGGCGCACGGGUGAGUAUCGCGUGAGUAACCUGCCUUCUGGUUUGGGACAACAUUUCGAAAGGAGUGCUAAUACCGAAUAAGACCACGACCUCAAUCGAGGAUGUGAGAAAAGAUGGGGAUCCGAAAGGACCUGUCACCAGUAGAUGGGCUCGCGUUCUAUCAGCUUGUUGGUGAGGUAAUGGCUCACCAAGGCGAAGACGGAUAUCUGGUUUGAGAGGAUGAUCAGACACACUGGAACUGAGACACGGUCCAG